rnacentral:rRNA from 1 species
UACGUAGGGUGCAAGCGUUGUCCGGAAUUAUUGGGCGUAAAGAGCUCGUAGGCGGUUUGUCGCGUCUGCUGUGAAAACUCGGGGCUUAACCCCGGGCCUGCAGUGGGUACGGGCAGACUAGAGUGCGGUAGGGGAGACUGGAAUUCCUGGUGUAGCGGUGAAAUGCGCAGAUAUCAGGAGGAACACCGGUGGCGAAGGCGGGUCUCUGGGCCGAUACUGACGCUAAGGAGCGAAAGCGUGGGGAGCGAACAGG